UGGAUCGAUGAUGAUUUCUGUUCAUCAGUAUGAGUGAUAUAAAGUGAAUACUUGUCUGGAAUUUUGAGGUCCGA
ensembl:snoRNA small nucleolar RNA SNORD113/SNORD114 family